rnacentral:miRNA from 1 species
GUAACUUGUGUGGCUUGAAUGUACC